rnacentral:rRNA from 1 species
UACGUAGGGACCGAGCGUUGUCCGGAAUCAUUGGGCGUAAAGAGCGUGUAGGCGGCCACUUAAGUCCUGCGUGAAAUCUUGCGGCUCAACCGCAAGCGGCCGUGGGAAACUGGGUGGCUAGAGUGCGGGAGAGGAGAGUGGAAUUCCUGGUGUAGCGGUGGAAUGCGCAGAUAUCAGGAAGAACACCCGUGGCGAAGGCGGCUCUCUGGAACGCAACUGACGCUGAGACGCGAAAGCGUGGGGAGCAAACAGG